UGCGUAGACGGUUUUCUAAGUCGGAUGUGAAAUCCCCGGGCUCAACCUGGGAAUUGCAUUCGAGACUGGAAGGCUAGGGUGCGGAAGAGGGAAGCGGAAUUUCUGGUGUAGCGGUGAAAUGCGUAGAUAUCAGAAGGAACAUCAGUGGCGAAAGCGGCUUCCUGGUCCAGCACCGACGUUCAGGCACGAAAGCGUGGGGAGCAAACAGGAUUAGAUACCCUGGUAGUCCACGCCAUAAACGAUGAGAACUAGACGUUGAGAGGGUUAGCCUCCCAGUGUCGAAGCUAACGCGAUAAGUUCUCCGCCUGGGGAGUACGGCCGCAAGGUUGAA
rnacentral:rRNA from 1 species